UACGUAGGUGGCAAGUGUUGUCCGGAUUUACUGGGCGUAAAGGGCGUGCAGGCGGUUUGUUAAGUGCAGGGUGAAAGCUCCCGGCUCAACUGGGAGAGGUCCUUGCAUACUGGCAAACUCGAGGGAGGCAGAGGAAAGUGGAAUUCCCGGUGUAGUGGUGAUAUGCGUAGAUAUCGGGAGGAACACCUGUGGCGAAGGCGGCUUUCUGGGCCUUACCUGACGCUGAGACGCGAAAGCGUGGGGAGCGAACCGG
rnacentral:rRNA from 1 species